GAAGCUUCAAUUUGACUUUUAGGAACCAGAAGACAAAUUUCCAUGUAAAGUUUGAUUCAAAACAGUGUUGAAAUAGUAAGAAAUUAUUAGAUUAGUUUGUUUCCAGGUUCUGUCUUGCUUUCCUGCUGUUUCUCAGGAGCCCAAACAAACAUGAGGAAAAGAGAAUUAUUACAGGUAGUUUACCUUGCAGGGGUCUCAAAGGAAAAGAAUCAAUGAUAGU
rnacentral:misc_RNA from 1 species